rnacentral:rRNA from 1 species
AUUGAACGCUGGCGGCACGCCUAACACAUGCAAGUCGAGCGGCAGCGAGACUAGUAGCAAUACUAGUUGUCGGCGAGCGGCGGACGGGUGAGUAACACGUAGGAAUCUGCCCUUAAGCGGGGGAUAACCAAGGGAAACGUUGGCUAAUACCGCAUAAUCUCGAGAGAGCAAAGCUGCCCGCAAGGGUGGCACUUGAGGAGGAGCCUGCGUCCGAUUAGCUAGUUGGUGGGGUAAUGGCCUACCAAGGCGAUGAUCGGUAACUGGUCUGAGAGGACGACCAGUCACACUGGGACUGAGACACGGUCCAGACUCCUACGGGAGGCAGCAGUGGGGAAUGUUGGACAAUGGGGGCAACCCUGAUCCAGCGAUGCCGCGUGAGUGAAGAAGGCCUUCGGGUCGUAAAGCUCUUUAGGUUGGGAAGAAGGGUAUUGGCUGAAUAAUCCAGUACUUUGACGGUACCGACAGAAUAAGCACCGGCAAACUCUGUGCCAGCCGCCGCGGUAAUAC